UGGCUGGAGGGAAAUACCGGAAGCUGUCAAACUGCAACCCAGUGUGACCUGGAUUCUUGAAGCUCAGUAAAAUUGCAUAAAGGAAAAGAAGCCAUGGUCCAGCCCUCACCUACUUCCACCUCCUUCUCUGGGGAAGUCACAAGCCCACACCAAGUGGCCAUCCUCUGGCAGCUGCCCCCAACUCCUUUUCUACUGUGUGCUGUUCCACAACCUGGGGGAGAUGAUGACACACAGAAGAAAAGAGGUGGAACAAAAGGAGCAAAGAAGAGAAGAGGAAGAGAAAAAGGAGAUGAAGUUUUGAAUAUGAGUAAAAGUAUUGCGUCUACCAAUAUGAGAAUUUCAGGAUAUUUGUUGUCAAUAACGAUCACUUGGAAAAGAGUUCUUUGGAAUGAACCCGGCUGUGUGUGAUUUAAACUCUACUUGCAUUUUGAAAUCUGUGAGACUGACGAGACUUUGUUCAGUGGAAAGAGCACUAGGCUGGGAAUCAGGAACUAAAAUGGACGUAUAUGUUGUUUAAAAAGCAUAUCUGAACAACCAAGAAUCGAGUCUGGCAUUCGUAACAAGAAAUGAGCAUAUCUUCUAAGUGGGCUGGAUGGUGUGAUGUGAAUCUCUGAUAAGAAGCUAUGAAUUCUCUGGAGAAUGCAUUGUCAAUGGCUUCUGUACAAUACUGAGAAUGGUGGGAAUUAUGAAAAAUGAUUUUUGAUUUUUUCAUGGAAAUAUAAUACAAGUGUUCCUUAUCAUGUGUUGUGUCCCAGUAAUACCCUGCUCCUUUAUAAAAAUUCAAUGCAUUUUUUUAUGUGUAGGCAAAAGUUUAAUAAAGUA